rnacentral:lncRNA from 1 species
AGCGGGCCGGAAGGGCAGCGUCGCGGUGCUGGAGGCUGUUGCUGGGAGGCGUGGAUUCUGGAAAGCCGCAGCGGGAAGCUGGGUAUAGAGAAGGAUCAACAGAGAUUGCACCCUGGUGACCUUUCCCCUCAGGCAUGUGACUCUUGCCCCUUCCAAGUUGUCAUCCUCAUUGUGAAAUUCACCUGGUAGCUGAUACUCAGGAGAGGAAUACUUUGGAAGCCAGAGUCUUCCAGCCAUCACCCUUCUGUUUUUCUCUCAAAGCUCCACUUGGAGCUCAGCUGGAUAAGGAACCCUGUGAAGUCUGGAAUUGGACAUGUCUCUUAUUAACGAAGUAAUUGUGGAGAAAACAGCAUUCUUAUCACUAUCCAGGAACGUAUCCCAAGUGCCUUCCUUGGCAGUAGCAAACUUCCCUUAAUUCCCUUCCCCUUGAGGAGAUGCAGCCAGAAUGAGAGUCUUAAGCAGAGUUUUUGGGUGAAAUGAUAAGCAUGUUCUAGGAAUUGUGACUUAGACUUGGACGUCUUGUGAUUUUUUUUCUUUUCAUCUUAAUUACUGCAUUUCACUCAUUCAUCAUGAAAUAAACUCUUACUGAAGGC